UACGGAGGGAGCUAGCGUUGUUCGGAAUUACUGGGCGUAAAGCGUGCGUAGGCGGUUAUUCAAGUCAGAGGUGAAAGCCCGGGGCUCAACCCCGGAACUGCCUUUGAAACUAGAUAGCUAGAAUCUUGGAGAGGUCAGUGGAAUUCCGAGUGUAGAGGUGAAAUUCGUAGAUAUUCGGAAGAACACCAGUGGCGAAGGCGACUGACUGGACAAGUAUUGACGCUGAGGCACGAAAGCGUGGGGGAGCAAACAGG
rnacentral:rRNA from 1 species